rnacentral:rRNA from 1 species
UGCCAGCAGCCGCGGUAAUACGGAGGGUGCAGGCGUUAUCCGGAAUCACUGGGUUUAAAGGGUGCGUAGGCGGCGUUAUAAGUCAGAGGUGAAAGCUUGCAGCUUAACUGUAAAAUUGCCUCUGAUACUGUAGUGCUUGAAUCACGUUGAGGUCGGCGGAAUGUGACAUGUAGCGGUGAAAUGCAUAGAUAUGUCAUAGAACACCAAUUGCGAAGGCAGCUGACUGGGCGUGUAUCGACGCUGAGAUGCGAAAGCGUGGGGAGCAAACAGGAUUAGAUA